UACGUAGGGGGCAAGCGUUGUCCGGAAUUAUUGGGCGUAAAGAGCGCGUAGGCGGUCCGGUAAGUCGGCUGUGAAAGUCAAGGGCUCAACCCUUGAAAGCCGGCCGAUACUGUCGGACUAGAGUCCGGAAGAGGCGAGUGGAAUUCUCGGUGUAGCGGUGAAAUGCGUAGAUAUCGAGAGGAACACCUGCGGCGAAGGCGGGUUGCUGGGCUGACACUGACGCUGAUGCGCGAAAGCCAGGGGAGCGAACGGG
rnacentral:rRNA from 1 species